UACGUAGGGGGCGAGCGUUGUCCGGAUUUAUUGGGCGUAAAGGGCUCGUAGGCGGCUUGGCAAGUCGGGUGUGAAAGCUCCAGGCUCAACCUGGGGAUGCCACUCGAUACUGCCAUGGCUAGAGUCCGGUAGGGGACCACGGAAUUCCUGGUGUAGCGGUGAAAUGCGCAGAUAUCAGGAGGAACACCGGUGGCGAAGGCGGUGGUCUGGGCCGGAACUGACGCUGAUGAGCGAAAGCGUGGGGAGCGAACAGG
rnacentral:rRNA from 1 species